AAACAUGUCUAGUGGGCAUUUUCUUGUUACGUCAUUGAACCUCUCCCAUGCCUCAUAGAGAGUCUCACCAUCUUCUUGCUUGAAAGUUUGCACCUCAGCUAUCAGCCU